AAAGCCACGAGAGUCACCAGUCCUAAACAAUAAAAUCAUAGUCAAAACAUUAUAACAAGGGGGAGGAGAGGGAACGGUAGCAGUAACAAUAGCAUCACUCUACAAAAGAAAGACAGAUAAUAGUAAAGGAGCAAAUUGUUGGUAGAACAUCAAGAAUAUCAGUCAACCAUUUGUUUAAAAAGGUGAAAGGGAAUAAGCUAGACACGUAACUAUUUUAUUAUUAAUAGCAAAAGAAAAAAUACAAGGUCUUCAUAUUCUUUAUGUUUUCUAGCACCUAGUAAACUUAAAUGGAUGAAUCCCACUAUCCCACAGUGGACAAAUUCUACUGUUUCCAAUCAUGAAAUACAGUAUCACCAAUGUGCCCAUAAGUCAAAACCCAUACCACAAAAAUAAACAGCACGUGCUCAAAUCUCUAUUAAACCAUU
rnacentral:misc_RNA from 1 species